rnacentral:rRNA from 1 species
UACGGAGGGUGCAAGCGUUAUCCGGAAUCAUUGGGUUUAAAGGGUCCGCAGGCGGUCGAUUAAGUCAGAGGUGAAAUCCCAUAGCUUAACUAUGGAACUGCCUUUGAUACUGGUUGACUUGAGUUAUACGGAAGUAGGUAGAAUAAGUAGUGUAGCGGUGAAAUGCAUAGAUAUUACUUAGAAUACCGAUUGCGAAGGCAGCCUACUACGUAUAUACUGACGCUCAUGGACGAAAGCGUGGGGAGCGAACAGG